rnacentral:rRNA from 1 species
AUACGUAGGUGGCAAGCGUUGUCCGGAAUUAUUGGGCGUAAAGCGCGCGCAGGUGGUUCCUUAAGUCUGAUGUGAAAGCCCCCGGCUCAACCGGGGAGGGUCAUUGGAAACUGGGGAACUUGAGUGCAGAAGAGGAUAGUGGAAUUCCAAGUGUAGCGGUGAAAUGCGUAGAGAUUUGGAGGAACACCAGUGGCGAAGGCGACUGUCUGGUCUGUAACUGACACUGAGGCGCGAAAGCGUGGGGAGCAAACAGGAUUAGAUACCCUGGUAGUCCACGCCGUAAACGAUGAGUGCUAAGUGUUGGGGGGUUUCCGCCCCUCAGUGCUGCAGCUAACGCAUUAAGCACUCCGCCUGGGGAGUACGGUCGCAAGACUGAAACUCAAAUGUAUUGGCGGG